rnacentral:ncRNA from 2 species
UAUUCCUUAUAAGCGCCAGCCCCGAAAGGGAGACGAGGUAUAGAAUUAUCGAUUUUUCGGCGGGUAUUCUAUCGGUUUUGUGAUAUCGUUAGGUAUAUAAUAAAAGGUAAAAUCAAUAUUACUACAAAAUAUAUAUCAUUCACAUAG